UACGUAGGCCUCAAGCGUUAUCCGGAUUUAUUGGGCGUAAAGCGUGUGUAGGGGGUUCCGUGCGUCCCUGGUUAAAGCCCACCGCCUACCGGUGGAGGUGCCGGGGAUACGACGGGACUGGAGGACGUUAGAGGUGCAUGGAAUGUACGGUGUAGGGGUGAAAUCCGUUGAUAUCGUACAGAACACCAAAGGCGAAGGCAGUGCACUGGGACGUUCCUGACCCUGAGACACGAAAGCGUGGGGAGCAAAAAGG
rnacentral:rRNA from 1 species